UCUCUGUUGUCGCAGGACUCUUCAAAGAAACUUUGAUAACACAAACACAACUAGGUUCAGAAUGUAAAAACCAUAUUUAUAUUGUGAUUGGUAGUAAUAUUAAAACUAAGUCAAGGUAGUGAACUGGUAGAACUGUUAGCAUACGAGGCAAAAUGCUUAGUGGUAUUUCGUCCAUCUUUAGGUUCUGAAUUCAAAUUCUGCCACAAUUGACACUUUGUCUUUCAUCGUUUCAGGAUCAAUAAAAUGAGUACCAGUUCAGCUCUGGAGGCAAUGCAGUUGAGUUACCCUUCCCACCGAAAUUGCUGGUCUUGUUCCAAAACUUGAAACAAAUAUUAAAAUUAAAUUAUUAUACUGAACUUAAAAAAGAAACAGAAUAUUUCAAGAUGUUGAUGUUUAAAUAUCUCAAAAAAAAAACCAGAAAAGAAAGAAAUAGUGCAUGUUCAUGCAUUUUGUUUAACUUGAGCAAAACUGGAGAAAUGGUGAAGUAAACAAGAUCAUGGCAUACUCAUCUCAACUAGUCAGCAACGGUUCAGCUAUCAUGAAGAAAAUGGCAGCUUCCAAAUACUGUUUUCUGAUGAGGGAACAGCAGUUGGGUGCAGCAGGAGUAUCCAAAAGGUGUAUGGAUGGGCAGCAGGUAAAAGUCCAUUCCAGCCAUGAACACUCUCCAUGACAACUGGUCCACAAUCAAAUUUAUAGUCGCUGGCAAGAAUGUCUCGGUCAAUAUCAG